UACGUUCCCAGGCAUGUAGCUGGCAAGAGCCUCAGGCCUCCCUCCCUCCCUUGCCCCACCUCCCAAAGCUUUCCCUGCCACCCCUCCUUCUUUCCUCCACUGCCCCCCCCUUACUGGCUGCCUCUCUCCCUCCCUCUUUCCCUCGCAGCCUUAAUGACUUCCACAUGGGCUUCUGGCAUUCUGAGCAUUGUCUGAAAUCUCCAAAUUUAGAAGAAAUAUGAAAAUUGUCAAGAACGCCUUCCUUAGGGGGUAAAACCAACAUUCGCUUGAACUGUCGCAGGUCAAGGCAGCGGGACCACGUGACCAGGCCCCAGCCAAUGGCUGCCCUCAGGACCACUGACAGAUGAGGCCGUCAGCCGUGCAGCAUCGUCUUUCAGCUCAUAUAAGGAUUGGCUACUGGGGGAAGCAGUCACACGUCUGAGGAUUGGAAGCCUUGCAAAGGACAAUGGACAGCCAAUCUUGAGGAAGAGUCGCAGGUGGCAAGCUAGCUCAGGAUGCUAGUCCAUAGCAAGACUGUGACUGGUGUCAGUCCAUCAAAAUCUAGUUUCAGCCAAUUUUGCUUCUCUUUUAAAAUGAGCAUAAGGUCACGAUAUCAUUGUGAGUGUAAUGAUGGUAAUGGCGUUGUUGGUCCAAUAUGUUACACUGCCCAACCCUGCCAUAAACAAUCCUAGGAAUUGUA